CCAUACACCAGACGGGCAAAGAAAUUUUGCUGGGAAAGCAAAAGAAAAAAAAAAGCAGGUUUAGUUCCCAAAGCUAGAAAUUGUGGUUCUCCUGCCUCGUUGUCUUGGUGUUCCCAGGAUGGAAGGACAGCGCUGCCUCUUUGCUUUUCACCCCAGGACAGAUUAAACCAGAAGCUGGCCAUGUUUGUUUAACCUCAAGCUUUGCUGAACUGGCAUGCCUGAACAGCCCUCAGCACUGCCAGAGCCGCAGAUGCUAAGGUAACAGGAGAAGAGCAGAAAGCUGCAGCCUGUUGCUAAGACAAGGCAGCUUCCAAGUCCUGACCAUGACCACAACAGGCACCCCACGUGGAAGAGAAACUCCAAUGAAAGAGAACAUGGCUGUGAGUUUAUGCUGGCAUCUUUGACAGCACUUCUAAAGGCAAGGAGAAAAGGCUGUGAGAGAUGGGAACAGAGAGGUUAUCAUCACAGAGAAAGAUCUAGGGGAAAUUUCAGGUUGCAUUUCAGCUGGCAAAGAAACAAACCUAUGCAUACACUACUGUACACAUACAGUGACACAGCCAAAGAUACAGAUAAUACCAGUUACAACUAAAAUUUUUUAACAGUUUGCUCAAUCUUUUGCAACAGUUAUGUCUCUUAGUGGAAAUAUUUGCAAAAGCCAAGCACAGCACCAGUACUAAACAUGGACCCAUGAAAGAAGAACAUGGGCUUGGGAUGGAGCUACAGGUCCUGCUGCAUUGGCCCCCGUCUGAUCUUCAGAAUUUCUGCUUUGUGCCCAGCCAACAAGGUACAGAAGCAGUCAAGCAGGAGGACAAGUUCUCAGGAUCUGCCUAUCAUCUUUCCCUGCCUGGAAGGAAGCACAUCUCCCGGAUGAUCAGAAGUGUCCAGAAAUCACAAUGGGAGGUUAAAAUGUAUAGAUGUGUGGAAGGUUUGUCUUGGAACUGCACA
rnacentral:lncRNA from 1 species